rnacentral:rRNA from 1 species
UACGUAGGGUGCAAGCGUUAAUCGGAAUUACUGGGCGUAAAGCGUGCGCAGGCGGUUUUGUAAGUCUGUCGUGAAAGCCCCGGGCUCAACCCAGGAACUGCGUCCGAUACUGGCAGGCUUGAAUCCGGGAGAGGGAUGUGGAAUUCCAGGUGUAGCGGUGAAAUGCGUAGAUAUCUGGAGGAACACCGGUGGCGAAGGCGGCAUCCUGGACCGGUAUUGACGCUGAUGCGCGAAAGCCAGGGGAGCAAACGGG